rnacentral:rRNA from 1 species
AUACGGAGGGUGCGAGCGUUAAUCGGAAUUACUGGGCGUAAAGCGUACGUAGGCGGUUGGUUAAGUUAGAUGUGAAAGCCCCGGGCUUAACCUGGGAACUGCAUUUAAAACUGGCGAACUAGAGUUGAGUAGAGGGGAGUGGAAUUUCAGGUGUAGCGGUGAAAUGCGUAGAGAUCUGAAGGAACACCAGUGGCGAAGGCGACUCCCUGGACUCGAACUGACGCUGAGGUACGAAAGCGUGGGUAGCAAACAGGAUUAGAAACCCUAGUAGUCC